GGGGAGAGAGAGUAGGGUUCGGGGGAGAGAGAGCAGGGUUAGGAGGAGAGAGAGUAGGGUUAGGAGGAGAGAGAGUAGGGUUAGGAGGAGAGAGAGUAGGGUUAGGAGGAGAGAGAGUAGGGUUAGGAGGAGAGAGAGUAGGGUUAGGAGGAGAGAGAGUAGGGUUAGGAGGAGAGAGAGUAGGGUUAGGAGGAGAGAGAGUAGGGUUAGGAGGAGAGAGAGUAGGGUUAGGAGGAGAGAGAGUAGGGUUAGGAGGAGAGAGAGUAGGGUUAGGAGGAGAGAGAGUAGGGUUAGGAGGAGAGAGAGUAGGGUUAGGAGGAGAGAGAGUAGGGUUAGGAGGAGAGAGAGUAGGGUUAGGAGGAGAGAGAGUAGGGUUAGGAGGAGAGAGAGUAGGGUUAGGAGGAGAGAGAGUAGGGUUAGGAGGAGUGUGUAUAUUAGGUUGUGUGACUAAAUGUUUUAACACUGUAUCAGAGGUGAGAUGCAGUGGACAUGUAUUUGGAGUGUGUGUGUGUGUGUGUGUGUGUGUGUG